GCAGUGGUGGUUCAGUGGUAGAAUCCUUGCCUUCCAUGCAGGAGACCCAGGUUCGAUUCCAGCCAGUGUG
rnacentral:tRNA from 1 species